rnacentral:rRNA from 1 species
AAACUUUCAGCAAUGGAUUGUCUUGG